AUGGAUGUUAUGGUUGUAGUUGAUACCUUGAUGGUUUAUGAUGAUUAUUACUUUCCACAAACAAACCCCAAACUCCAAGGCCCAAACUUCGUAGCUAUAGAUUUGAUAAUUUGGCCCAAAACCCUCUUCUUCUUCUUCUUCUUCUUUUCACUCCUUCCUUCCCGCAUAUUAUUCAAUCCUUAUGUUCUCUCACUGCCAUCUCUUCGCGCCGUUGCUCCUCAGCUCCGUCCGCCGUGCCGUUUAUUCUCGCCGCAUCUAGGUCCAUCUCAUUCUCAGGUGGUUGUAGUUCAGGAGAACAGUGGCAAAUUCAAAGGAAUAGGCGUGUGGAAGCUUCCUAUUGGGUUUGUUAAUGAAGUGAGCUUUUCAGAAGAUAAGAAAACAUCCUUUACAUACCUCGAUUGCUUAUGGUUUGAGUUACAUAGGAAAUCGGCCUAUAAAACCAAGGUGCUAACAUGGAUUCAGAAGAAAGACAUUAUUUCAAAGAAAUAUGUUUUGGUUCCUAUUGUUUGCUGGCGUCACUAGAGUCUCUUGAUCUUCUGCCACUUUGGUGAGAGCACAAAAUCAGAAACAAGAACACCGUGCAUGUUGUUGCUGGACUCACUUGAGGAGGCAAACCCAGGGCAGCUUGAACCAGAUAUAAGAAAAUUUGUAUUGGACAUCUAUAAAGCAGAGGGUAGGCUUGAGAGUAAAGACUCUUUAUCAAAUUCCUCUCUUGGUGCCUAAGGUGCCACAACAGAGAAAUGGUGAGGAAUGCCGCAGUUUUGUUCUCUACUUCAUUAACUUGUUCAUGGAGAGUGCUCCAGAGGAUUUUAGCACUCAGCAUUUUCCUUACAUCAUGAAAGAUAAUUGGUUUACCCUGAAGGCAUGAAAGGCUUCUGCGAGAAAAGUGACGUUGAUGAGCUUCUGUAGUUGAUUUCUGACAGCUUGAUAGGUUUAAGGUUGUUGUCAGUGUAUUAGGAAAUGACAAUUUGUCCAUAUAUUUAAUUUUUAGGAUGUGUUUAUGUCAAUGAGGCAUGUAUAUUGGUAAAUAAAGGUGCUAAUUAAUGAUUGAUUUACUAUUUGGCUAUUUA